GAAACUAGAAAACUUACAAAAUCCAAAAGGAAGAAAACUAAAAAUUAUCAUAAGAUAAGAUUACAUGCGAUCUACUCAUGGGAUACUAUUGCUGGAAUUUGUGUGAAAACUGGGUUGCAUUUGUAUUUGCCUUUAGCAGUAUUGCACACAAGGAUUUAGUAGUAGUCAGCAUUCAGCAACACAGCAGUAUAACAGCACUGUGAAUCUUGCAACAAUGUACUACUCAGCAUGAACGGUCAGGGCUUCCUUGGGACACCAAACACCGGUCAGUAGCCAGUGACAAAAUGGUAUGUAUAUCAUUACUUUCUCUUGACAUGUUUAUGGAUUGUACAACACGCACAGCUUGGCAAGAAUUAUUGUGUAAAGGAUUUGUCAAGAUAUUAAAAACCAGUGCUCAUUUUAUUGUAAUAGUACAUUACAAACUGACAUGCAGACAAAAUACAUUCCUGUAUGAAAUUACCUCAAACAGCAAAGAAGAAAAGAGAGAGAAAAACACUAAUUGAAUUCCAUUUUCCAGAGGAAAAUUUAUUGACAUUCAUGAAAUGAAGUCCCCAUAAAAACAACUUGCAUAGCAAAAGAAAUUUAAUCAAAAGCACGAAACAAAAUCCCUAAUGUUUAGUUCUCUGAAGAUUUGAAGACGAACUAAUAGGCAUCGGGAUUGGCCAAGAGGUAGGCUUCAACAGCCUUGAACAUGGCAGUGGCUGUUCCCUUGGCUUCAUUGAUUUUUUCCUCUGGAAUCACAAUGUCACCCUUUGUGUGGUAUGUGGUGAUGGUCUUCCAGACAGACCCUCCAUCAGAAGAUGCCUCAAUCUUGUUCUCCGAACUGAUUUUGUCGAGAGCACCCCUCAGAAUUUCACCUUCGAUUAUGCUG